UUUAUGGAGAGUUUGAUCCUGGCUCAGAGUGAACGCUGGCGGCGUGCCUAAUACAUGCAAGUCGAACGAUGAAGCUUCUAGCUUGCUAGAAGUGGAUUAGUGGCGCACGGGUGAGUAAGGUAUAGUUAAUCUGCCCUACACAAGAGGACAACAGUUGGAAACGACUGCUAAUACUCUAUACUCCUGCUUAACACAAGUUGAGU
rnacentral:rRNA from 1 species